AGUGGCUCAGUGGUAGAGUGCCUGCCUCCCAUGCAUGAGGUCCUGGGUUCGAUUCCUCAGCACUA
rnacentral:tRNA from 1 species